rnacentral:tRNA from 1 species
GGAUAGCCCAGUUAGUAGAACAUGAGACUCUUAAUCUCAGGGUUGUGGGUUUGAGCCCCAUGUUGAGCA